GAUGAAGAACGCAGUGAAAUGCGAUACGUAAUGUGAAUUGCAGAAUUCAGUGAAUCAUCGAAUCUUUGAACGCAUAUUGCGCUCUUUGGUAUUCCGAAGAGCAUGCUUGUUUGAGUAUCAGUAAACACCUCAACCUCUUCUUGAUUUUUCAAAAGGAGGGUGGACUUGAGCUAUCCCAACAACCUUUACCGGUCGGCGGGCGGCUUGAAAUGCAGGUGCAGCUGGACUUUUAUCUGAGCUAAAAGCAUAUCUAUUUAGUCCUCGUCAAACAGGAUUAUUACUUUUGCUGCAGCUAACAUAAAGGAUAAUUGUCCUCUUUGCUGACUGAUGCAGGAUUUUACGACACUUUAUGUGUUGUUCAACUCGAUCUCAAAUCAAGUAAGACUACCCGCUGAACUUAAGCAUAUCAAUAAGCGGAGGA
rnacentral:misc_RNA from 1 species